CGCGUAUUUUGCUCAGGCGGAACUCGACCGCCCACUGAAACGAUGAUCGGGUUCAUUCACUGCCCGGCGGGGCAUUGCGCAGCAAUGUCCCGAGAGUGGACGAUCACCGGGCCGAGUAUGGGGUCGAGCCGAUCUGCCGGGUUUUUCCGAACGCCCCU
rfam:Silicibacter lacuscaerulensis ITI-1157 genomic scaffold scf_1113211289287, whole genome shotgun sequence.